UUUGGGCACAUUUGGUUGCUGGUUAAAAGAGAGGGAUUGGAUUAGUUAUCCAUGGUACCCAUUUAUCCCACAUUUGGUUGCACAAUUUGACAAUGGGAUAAUUGGUUCACAGCUUUACUUGUUCAAGUGUGAGUGUGAAUUUUUAGUUGUAGAUUUUUUUCCCCUUCAUGUUAUCCAUGUAUAAAUAUUCUAACACAGGUUGCGAUUUUACGCUAGAAUGACUUACAUCAGCUAUUCCAGCAAUUUGGGGUCGUAACCAAGGUUGUGAUGCUUCGCGCCAAGAAUCAGGCACUCCUCCAAAUGCAAGAUAUUCCUUCAGCUGUUAAUGCACUGCAGUUCUACACAAAUGUUCAGCCAAGCAUAAGGGGAAGGAAUGUUUAUGUU